AGAUAUGAUCCAGAGUACCACGGGACACGUGAAACCCUGUGGGAAGCAGGAGGGACCACCCUCCAAGGCUAAAUACUACCUAGUGACCGAUAGCGUAUAGUACCGUGAGGGAAAGGUGAAAAGAACCCCGGGAGGGGAGUGAAAUAGAACCUGAAACCCUGCACUUACAAGCUGUGGAAGCACAUUUCUUGUGUGACCGCGUACUUUUUGUAGAACGGGCCAACGAGUUACGUUAAGUAGCAAGGUUAAGCACUUAAGGUGCGGAGCCGUAGCGAAAGCGAGUUUUAACUGAGCGUUCAGUUACUUGACGUAGACCCGAAACCGGGCGACCUACCCAUGAGCAGGAUGAAGCGAAAGUAAAAUUUCGUGGAGGUCCGAACCCACGAGCGUUGAAAAGCUCGGGGAUGACUUGUGGGUAGCGGUGAAAUUCCAAUCGAGCCCGGAGAUAGCUGGUUCUCCCCGAAAUAGCUUUAGGGCUAGCCUCAAGGUGAGAGAUACGGAGGUAGAGCACUGAAUGUCCUAGGGGGUAUUGCACCUACCGAAGACUAUCAAACUCCGAAUGCCGUCAUCUUAUACUUGGGAGUCAGACUGUGGGUGAUAAGAUUCAUAGUCGAAAGGGCAACAGCCCAGAUCGUCAGCUAAGGUCCCUAAAUGUAAGUUAAGUGGUAAAGGAUGUGGGAUUGCACAGACAACCAGGAUGUUGGCUUAGAAGCAGCCACUCAUUCAAAGAGUGCGUAAUAGCUCACUGGUCGAGUGAUCCUGCGCCGAAGAUUUCCGGGGCUAAAACUUACUACCGAAGCUACGGCAUCAGUAAUGAUGGGUAGGGGAGCUUCCCAUACGGGUUGAAGCAUGACCGUAAGGACAUGUGGACAGUAUGGGAGUGAGAAUGUUGGCAUGAGUAGCGAGAUGUGGGUGAGAAUCCCACAGGCCGUAAACCCAAGGUUUCCAGGGGAAGGUUCGUCCGCCCUGGGUUAGUCGGGACCUAAGCUGAGGCCGAAAGGCGUAGGUGAUGGACAACAGGUUGAUAUUCCUGUACUACCGAUAACCGUUUGAGAGAAGGGAUGACACAGUAGGAUAAGCUAAGCACACUGUUGGUUAUGUGUGCCCAAGCAUUGAGGCAGUCAAAGUAGGCAAAUCCGCUUUGAUAAUGCUGGGAUGUGAUGGGGAGCGAAAUUUAGUAGCGAAGUAGCUGAUUUCACACUGUCAAGAAAAGUCUCUAUCGAGGUUAAAGGUACCCGUACCGCAAACCGACACAGGUGGGUGAGGAGAGUAUCCUAAGGCCAGCGAGAGAACUGUUGUUAAGGAACUCGGCAAAAUGACCCCGUAACUUAGGGAUAAGGGGUGCCACCAUCAGGUGGCCGCAGAGAAUAGGCCCAAGCGACUGUUUACCAAAAACAUAGGUUUCUGCUAAGUCGCAAGACGAUGUAUAGGAGCUGACGCCUGCCCGGUGCUGGAAGGUUAAGGGGAUCUGUUAGAGCAAUCGAAGCAGUGAACUUAAGCCCCAGUAAACGGCGGCCGUAACUAUAACGGUCCUAAGGUAGCGAAAUUCCUUGUCGGGUAAGUUCCGACCCGCACGAAAGGCGUAACGAUUUGGGCACUGUCUCAACAACAGACUCGGUGAAAUUGUAAUUCCGGUGAAGAUGCCGGAUACCUGCGACAGGACGGAAAGACCCCAUGGAGCUUUACUGUAGCUUGACAUUGGGUCUUGGUACUACAUGUACAGGAUAGGUGGGAGGCUUUGAAACCAGGACGCCAGUUUUGGCGGAGCCAUCCUUGGGAUACCACCCUUGUAGUACUGGGACUCUAACCAUAGGCCAUGAAUCUGGUCUUGGGACACUGUCAGGUGGGCAGUUUGACUGGGGCGGUCGCCUCCCAAAAGGUAACGGAGGCGCUCAAAGGUUCUCUCAGUACGGUCGGAAAUCGUACGUAGAGUGUAAAGGCAAAAGAGAGCUUGAUUGCAAGACAUACAGGUCGAGCAAGGAUGAAAAUCGGACUUAGUGAUCCGGUGGUUCUGCGUGGAAGGGCCAUCGCUCAACGGAUAAAAGCUACCCUGGGGAUAACAGGCUUAUCUCCCCCAAGAGUCCACAUCGACGGGGAGGUUUGGCACCUCGAUGUCGGCUCAUCACAUCCUGGGGCUGUAGUAGGUCCCAAGGGUUGGGCUGUUCGCCCAUUAAAGUGGUACGCGAGCUGGGUUCAGAACGUCGUGAGACAGUUCGGUCCCUAUCCGUCGCAGGCGUAGGAAAUUUGAGAAGACCUGUCCUUAGUACGAGAGGACCGGGAUGGACGUACCUCUGGUGUACCAGUUGUCCUGCCAAGGGCAUGGCUGGGUAGCUAUGUACGGAAUGGAUAAGCGCUGAAAGCAUCUAAGCGCGAAGCCAACUUCAAGAUAAGAUUUCCCACCGCAAGGGUAAGACCCCAGAAAGACUAUCUGGUUGAUAGGUCGAAGGUGUAAGUGCAG
rnacentral:rRNA from 1 species